rnacentral:rRNA from 1 species
GUAGGUGGCAAGCGUUGUCCGGAAUUAUUGGGCGUAAAGCGCGCGCAGGCGGUCCUUUAAGUCUGAUGUGAAAGCCCACGGCUCAACCGUGGAGGGUCAUUGGAAACUGGGGGACUUGAGUACAGAAGAGGAAAGCGGAAUUCCAAGUGUAGCGGUGAAAUGCGUAGAGAUUUGGAGGAACACCAGUGGCGAAGGCGGCUUUCUGGUCUGUAACUGACGCUGAGGCGCGAAAGCGUGGGGAGCAAACAGGGAUUAGAUACCCUGGUAGUCCACGCCGUAAACGAUGAGUGCUAAGUGUUAGGGGGUUUCCCGCCCCUUAGUGCUGCAGCUAACGCAUUAAGCACUCCGCCUGGGGAGUACGGCCGCAAGGCCG